GGAAUAUUGCGCAAUGGAGGAAACUCUGACGCAGUGACGCCGCGUAUAGGAAGAAGGUUUUAGGAUUGUAAACUAUUUUAGACAGGGAAGAGAAAGGACUGUACCUGUAGAAUAAGCUCCGGCUAACUACGUGCCAGCAGCCGCGGUAAUACGUAGGGAGCAAGCGUUAUCCGGAAUUAUUGGGUGUAAAGGGUGCGUAGACGGGAACUUAAGUUGGUUGUGAAAUCCCUUGGCUUAACUGAGGAACUGCAACCAAAACUGAGUUUCUUGAGUGCUGGAGAGGGAAGCGGAAUUCCUAGUGUAGCGGUGAAAUGCGUAGAUAUUAGGAGGAACACCAGUGGCGAAGGCGGCUUUCUGGACAGUAACUGACGUUGAGGCACGAAAGUGUGGGGAGCAAACA
rnacentral:rRNA from 1 species